GGGUCAGUAGGUUGGUCGUGCCACUGGUACGUACUGGUCUCACUGAUUCCUCCUUCCUGAAGAACCGUAAUGCCAUUAAUUUGGUGUUGCGGGGAAACAGGACUGUUACUUUGAAAAGAUUAGAGUGUUUAAAGCAAGCUAACGCUUGAAUACAUUAGCAUGGAAUAAUGAAAUAGGACGAUCGAUCCUAUUUUGUUGGUUUCUAGGAUUGACGUA
rnacentral:rRNA from 1 species